GACGAACGCUGGCGGCGUGCCUAAUACAUGCAAGUCGAGCGCAGCGGCCGAUGGGUGAGUAACGCGUGGGUAACCUGCCCUUAAGUCUGGGAUACCAUUAGGAAACAAAUGCUAUUACCGGCUACGAUAGGAUGGACCGGCGAUGCAUUAGCUAGUGGGUAAGGUAACGGUUUACCAAGGCGCUGAUGCGUAGCGAAGUUGAGAGACUGCUCGGCCACAUUGGGACGGGGACACGGCCCAAACUCGUACGGGAGGCAGCAGAAGGGAAUCUUCCAAAAUGGACGAAAGUUGGAUGGAGCAACGCCGCGUGAUGGAAGAAGGUUUUCGGAUCGUAAAGCUCUGUUGUUGGUGAAGCGGUAAUCAACCAGAAAGGCACGGCUAACUACGUGCCAGCAGCCGCGGUAAUUC
rnacentral:rRNA from 1 species